CAGAGGUGGCAAGCAUUGUUCGGAAUUACUGGGCGUAAAGGGCGCGUAGGCGGCCAUCUAAGUCAGACGUGAAAUCCCCCGGCUUAACCUGGGAACUGCGUCUGAUACUGGAAGGCUCGGGUUUGGGAGAGGGAUGUGGAAUUCCAGGUGUAGCGGUGAAAUGCGUAGAUAUCUGGAGGAACACCGGUGGCGAAGGCGGCAUCCUGGACCAACACUGACGCUGAGGCGCGAAAGCUAGGGGAGCAAACGGGAUUAGAUACCCCGGUAGUCCUAGCCCUAAACGAUGAAUGCUUGGUGUGGCGGGUAUCGAUCCCUGCCGUGCCGAAGCUAACGCAUUAAGCAUUCCGCCUGGGGAGUACGGUCGCAAGGCUG
rnacentral:rRNA from 1 species